GACGGAGGAUGCAAGCGUUAUCCGGAAUGAUUGGGCGUAAAGCGUCCGCAGGCGGCAGUUCAAGUCUGCUGUCAAAGACCGGGGCUUAACUUCGGAAAGGCAGUGGAAACUGAACAGCUAGAGUAUGGUAGGGGCAGAGGGAAUUCCUGGUGUAGCGGUGAAAUGCGUAGAGAUCAGGAAGAACAUCGGUGGCGAAGGCGCUCUGCUGGACCAUAACUGACACUCAGGGACGAAAGCGAGGGGAGCGAACGGG
rnacentral:rRNA from 1 species